GACGAACGCUGGCGGCGUGCCUAACACAUGCAAGUCGAACGGGAAUACAUUGGUAGCAAUAUUGAUGUAUUUUAGUGGCGGACGGGUGAGUAACGCGUGAGCAACCUGCCCUUCGGAGGGGGACAACAGCUGGAAACGGCUGCUAAUACCGCAUAACGUAUAACUGGGACAUCCCGGAUAUACCAAAGAUUUAUCACCGAAGGAUGGGCUCGCGUCUGAUUAGCUAGUUGGUGAGGUAAUGGCUCACCAAGGCUGCGAUCAGUAGCCGGACUGAGAGGUUGAACGGCCACAUUGGGACUGAGAUACGGCCCAGACUCCUACGGGAGGCAGCAGUGGGGAAUAUUGGGCAAUGGGGGCAACCCUGACCCAGCAACGCCGCGUGAAGGAAGAAGGCUUUCGGGUUGUAAACUUCUUUGACCAGGGACGAAAGAAAUGACGGUACCUGGAAAACAAGCCACGGCUAACUACGUG
rnacentral:rRNA from 1 species